UGGGGGUCAUCCUGGAGGUGACCACAGACCCUAAUGGCCCAAGGUCUUCCACCCUGGCCAGGCUGCCUUUGUCCUGGCAGUCCUCUCCAGAUGGCCUCUCCAGUGAAAGCACAUCUUUCAUCAAGCUGGGCGUAUCUAAGUGAAAAGGGACCCGGGCCACCUUCUACUUACAAUAUUCCCAUGGGUUUCCUCUGGAAAACCAGUGGGGAGAACCUUGAAGCAGAGAAAACAAACUUUCCCUCCAGCACAUCAUUGUAUAAGCACUAUACCAUCUCUCUGAAUAAAGACGAAGAAAUAAAUUCAGCUUUGGAACUCUGCCAUUGAGUGGCGGCUCCUGCAAAGGGGACAGUUUUCUAUUAAUUGUUAAUGUCGUCUGCCAUUAGAGGGCACUAAACAACUCUACAUUAAUGAGUUGGAGGGAAGAGAGAAAAGGAGACGGGAAAAGAAAGAGAAGGGGAAAAGGGAGGGCGAGUCUGGGUAGAGUCCGGGUAGAAGGAGGGAAGGAAAGAAGAGGGAAAGGAGUCGGGGAAAGAGAACAGAGGGAAUGGGUGAGAGAAAGGGAGGGAAAGAAAGAAGGGGAGAGAGACAUAGAGCGAGACAGAAACAGAGACAACAUGAUUCUGGAAAGAUUAAGAAGC
rnacentral:lncRNA from 13 species